ensembl:misc_RNA
AAGCUUCGCGGAUUGUCUUUUGCUCCAAGUUAUUUUUGGUGAUUUUUUUUUUUUUAGUGGUUUUUCGGCGGAGCGCUAGUGGCACUAUACUUUCAGACAGGUUAUCCCGUCUCUCCCGCUAGAUUGAUGAGAUCAGGCAUC